UCCCUGGUGGCUCAGAUGGUAAAGAAUCUGUCUGUAACACAGCAGACCUGGGUUCAAUCCCUGGUCAGGGAG
rnacentral:tRNA from 1 species